UGGCUAACAGCCUUUACCCUGACUGUUAGCUUUUAGCGGCUAACAGCCUUUACCCUGACUGUUAGCUCUUAGUGGCUAACAGCCUUUACCCUGACUGUUAGCUUUUAGCGGCUAACAGCCUUUACCCUGACUGUUAGCUUUUGGCGGCUAACAGCAUCUACCCUGCCUGUUAGCUUUUAGCGGCUAACAGCAUUUACCCUGACUGUUAGCUUUUAGCGGCUAACAGCAUUUACCCUGACUGUUAACUUUUAGCGGCUAACAGCCUUUAGCAGCCUUUACCCUGACUGUUAGCUUUUAGCGGCUAACAGCCUUUAACAGCCUUUACCCUGACUGUUAGCCUUUGGUGGCUAACAGCCUUUAGCAGCCUUUACCCUGACUGUUAACCUUUAGCGGCUAACAGCCUUUACCCUGACUGUUAGCUUUUAGCGGCUAACAGCCUUUACCCUGACUGUUAGCUUUUGGUGGCUAACAGCCUUUAGCAGCCUUUACCCUGACUGUUAACCUUCAGCGGCUAACAGCCUUUAACAGCCUUUACCCUGACUGUUAGCUUUUGGUGGCUAACAGCCUUUAGCAGCCUUUACCCUGACUGUUAACCUUUAGCGGCUAACAGCCUUUACCCUGACUGUUAGCUUUUAGCGGCUAACAGCCUUUAGCAGCCUUUACCCUGACUGUUAACCUUUAGCGGCUAACAGCCUUUACCCUGACUGUUAGCUUUUAGCGGCUAACAGAACACUUGUUCUCUCCCAGAUGUCCAGCUGUCGGCUUCCUGCAGAAACAAAACUCCUGAAGUUUUGUUGACAUGAAUUAAGCUGGACCUGGUGUCUGUGUUUUUACGUGCAGUAAGCAGCUGACCAGGUUAUUUAACGAGAAACUUCGUCCGCGGCGGGGUUGUGCACGCUUGUUCAUGUCUUAAAUCCCACAUGUUUUAUUUACAUUUACAUACGUUCUCCCCACCUCGAUCAGCUGUUCAUUAAAACUGUCAGAUUAGCCUCGCAUCAGGGAACGCCGAAGCCCCAACUUCCGCUUCUUUCUCUUCCACAUUAACCACGCCCACCUCAAAUGCCCGACCAGUCACAGAAUACUUCUCGGAACCCUGUGAGAAAAAAAGUUCUGAUCAGCCGAUGUGUCGAGAACAAGCCGCUAACGGUUCCCAAACACGUCCGAGAGAGCAAAGUGGCGGCAUUUUGUUGUCGGGGGAUGGAACAGGCUGGACUCUGAACCUGGAGCUCCGACGGCAUGAAUCAUUAAGCUGAUCAACAUCACUGCUGCAUCUGAUCAUUUCUUAGUGGUUCAUUAUCGGGGUAAAUACGCUGCAGAUGAGGUUUUAAUGCUCUUUGCACCAAAUAACAGACUGAAACCAGUCAGUGGCCUUUUUACAAAUGUUCAUUUUCUGUCACCGAUGCUGUAAAUAUUCAAUAAAAAAGGGAAAUUAAUAAAAAAUGCUUCUUUUUUAAAGUUUUAUGAGGAUAUGUUAUUAAAAAUGAGUCAUCAAUAUUCAACUUCCUGUAACACAAAUAUCUAACCAGCCAAUCACGCGGCAGCAUGCAGACAUCAGAAUGUGGAAGAAAUGGGAUUUAGGUGAGAUGGAGAAGGUGCACGUGUAACGGAGUGUAGUUGAUUCCACUUGGCACUGAACAGGCAAUCAGAUUUGCCGUUUUAUUUGCAGUCUAUGUAUCGGGGACACCUACUGGUUGGCACGGCUCUCCUCAGGUUAUAAAUACUGGCUGUGACGUUGCUUCAGCACCAGUAAGAGAGGAUUGAGCCCAUGCUGUGCCGAGCGGCUGAUGAGUGUGACCGUGACCGACCAGUGUGUGUCUCAUCGCUGUUUUUGCAGACAAUAAAGUCCGUUCCAAAUACUAAGAGUGUCGGCCUUCAUCCAGAAAAAUCACAACACAACGCAGACAGUGGU